rnacentral:lncRNA from 1 species
ACUUUCUCCUUCUCCUGCAGCUCCCUGCUGAGCCUGGUGGGGAGAAGGGGGACAACGGGUAAAACCAAGGUCACCGAAGCCAACCUGUCCUGACUAUGGCUCAUAGGAAAAGCCAAGUAAGACAGUUCCCGGGCCUGAUCCUGAAUCAGGGAAUCAUAUUUCCUAAUGCAGGACAGAAGAGGAAAGAGUGUGGAAUUGGCCAACAGCAUCCAAAUGUGACAGCUGACUCCAGGGAGGGGUGAGCCCCACACCCUGUGCUCUUACCAGGACUGGUGGUUUCCUCCCGUUCAGCCUCAUUCUCGCUUCGGCCACAAGUCUCAUAGCCCAGGUCCUGGAGGUCCACCUGGAUCUGCUUGCUGUCCUGCUUCACCAAGGAUUCACCUGCUUGGGAAGAGAAGCAGGUGUUACAGAAUGUCUGAAUUUCCCACAUAUGCCCUCAGCCUCAAUGGCACAUACCCUAACCUUUUGAGGCACGGAAGGCAGAUCCACAGUGGGAGAGAAGCUUCUCUGAACUGGUGGGAGAAGAGAUCACCAGCUCCAGGAAGCAGAAUUUCUUUCCAAAGGAGGAGCCUGCAUUUGCCAUUAUCUCCCCUUCAGAUAACCCAGGCUUUAGUUGGGACCAGAUAUCUGUAAGUCAGGGAUUGUACACUAUCAUCUCUAGCAGCCCCAUUGAAGCUGGCAAGUGCUUUAUCCGCAGGGGUUCAAUAAAUGUUGAAUGGAGCUGAACUAAUUUAGAGUCCCAAGACCCUAGACCUGUACUGUCCAAUAAGGUAGUUAGCAGCCACAUAUGGCCACUUUAUACUACAUCAACUAAAAUUAAAUAAAACCAAAUGUCCAAGUUGCACUAGCCACACUUCGUGUGCUCAAUAACCACGUUAUGUCGGUAUAGAACAUACAGAACUUAUAAGACAUAUAGGCUAGUUUUCUUUACUAGUAAGUCAUAGUUACUUACUAAGCAUAACUCUGUAUUUCUCCAGCUCGUUAGCCUGAGCAAAGACAGUGGCUUCUGAUAGCAGCAGC